AACACAUGCAAGUCGAGGGGCAGCAUUUUAUUUUGCUUGCAAACUGAAGAUGGCGACCGGCGCACGGGUGAGUAACACGUAUCCAACCUGCCGAUAACUCCGGAAUAGCCUUUCGAAAGAAAGAUUAAUACCGGAUAGUAUACGAAUAUCGCAUGAUAUUUUUAUUAAAGAAUUUCGGUUAUCGAUGGGGAUGCGUUCCAUUAGUUUGUUGGCGGGGUAACGGCCCACCAAGACUACGAUGGAUAGGGGUUCUGAGAGGAAGGUCCCCCACAUUGGAACUGAGACACGGUCCAAACUCCUACGGGAGGCAGCAGUGAGGAAUAUUGGUCAAUGGGCGAGAGCCUGAACCAGCCAAGUAGCGUGAAGGAUGAAGGCUCUAUGGGUCGUAAACUUCUUUUAUAUGGGAAUAAAGUUUUCCACGUGUGGAAUUUUGUAUGUACCAUAUGAAUAAGGAUCGGCUAACUCCGUGCCAGCAGCCGCGGUAAUACGGAGGAUCCGAGCGUUAUCCGGAUUUAUUGGGUUUAAAGGGAGCGUAGGUGGAUUGUUAAGUCAGUUGUGAAAGUUUGCGGCUCAACCGUAAAAUUGCAGUUGAAACUGGGAGUCUUGAGUACAGUAGAGGUGGGCGGAAUUCGUGGUGUAGCGGUGAAAUGCUUAGAUAUCACGAAGAACUCCGAUUGCGAAGGCAGCUCACUAGACUGUCACUGACACUGAUGCUCGAAAGUGUGGGUAUCAAACAGGAUUAGAUACCCUGGUAGUCCACACAGUAAACGAUGAAUACUCGCUGUUUACGAUAUACAGUAAGCGGCCAAGCGAAAGCAUUAAGUAUUCCACCUGGGGAGUACGCCGGCAACGGUGAAACUCAAAGGAAUUGACGGGGGCCCGCACAAGCGGAGGAACAUGUGGUUUAAUUCGAUGAUACGCGAGGAACCUUACCCGGGCUUAAAUUGCAACAGAAUAUAUUGGAAACAGUAUAGCCGUAAGGCUGUUGUGAAGGUGCUGCAUGGUUGUCGUCAGCUCGUGCCGUGAGGUGUCGGCUUAAGUGCCAUAACGAGCGCAACCCUUAUCUUUAGUUACUAACAGGUCAUGCUGAGGACUCUAGAGAGACUGCCGUCGUAAGAUGUGAGGAAGGUGGGGAUGACGUCAAAUCAGCACGGCCCUUACGUCCGGGGCUACACACGUGUUACAAUGGGGGGUACAGAAGGCGGCUACCUGGUGACAGGAUGCUAAUCCCAAAAACCUCUCUCAGUUCGGAUCGAAGUCUGCAACCCGACUUCGUGAAGCUGGAUUCGCUAGUAAUCGCGCAUCAGCCAUGGCGCGGUGAAUACGUUCCCGGGCCUUGUACACACCGCCCGUCAAGCCAUGAAAGCCGGGGGUACCUGAAGUACGUAACCGCAAGGAGCGUCCUAGGGUAAAACUGGUAAUUGGGGCUAAG
rnacentral:rRNA from 1 species